rnacentral:rRNA from 1 species
AUUGAACGCUGGCGGCAUGCUUUACACAUGCAAGUCGAACGGCAGCACGGGUGCUUGCACCUGGUGGCGAGUGGCGAACGGGUGAGUAAUGCAUCGGAACGUGCCCAUGAGUGGGGGAUAGCCCGGCGAAAGCCGGAUUAAUACCGCAUACGCCCUUAGGGGGAAAGCGGGGGAUUUUCGGACCUCGCGCUAUUGGAGCGGCCGAUGUCGGAUUAGCUAGUAGGUGAGGUAAAGGCUCACCUAGGCGACGAUCCGUAGCUGGUCUGAGAGGAUGAUCAGCCACACUGGGACUGAGACACGGCCCAGACUCCUACGGGAGGCAGCAGUGGGGAAUUUUGGACAAUGGGCGCAAGCCUGAUCCAGCCAUGCCGCGUGAGUGAAGAAGGCCU